CGCUCCUCUGGUUCCCACAGCCCGCCUGCCAAUCUGCGGAUGCUGGCGGCUGGGACCCAGCAGAAGUUGGACCCUCCCUUAUACAGGUAAGGAAAGAAGAGGACGCCCAGGAGAGCGUCCAGAGAAACACCAGCACUUACUAGGGGCAGGGAGGAGGAUCAGAAGAGAGAUCGGAGAGGAGCAUCAAGGAGGAGGGGGAAAACCCUGGAAGUUUCAAGGACGCCCUGAUUAACAACGUCAGUCUCGACUGCUGCCAGGAAGCAUGUAAGAUGAGGACAGAAAAUUUUCUUGUACUUCGCAACACCAGUUUGCAGGUGGCGUAUUAGUUCCCCAACCAGGGAUCAAACCCAAGUCCCCUGCAUUGGAAGCAUAGUCUUAACCGCUGGACCACUGAGGAAGUCCCUGUCUGUGCCAUUUUUGAUUUCUCAUAUUGGCGGCCAUUGGAAUCUAGUGGCCCCACAGAGCUGACAGACCACUGAUCACCUCUACUCAUCAACUGCUUAGGAGAUUGUAAUCAUGGUUGUCACAAAUGUGGCUUCAACUAUGACAGUGGCAGUUGAGCUGAAGAAAGGAGGUGGGCUUGCCAUCGUUGAAGAAGACAGAGACUGGAGGUGGCUCUUGGAUCUGUCUGAGUUGGGGACUAGGAGACGAGUUCCCACAUGUCCCUGGAGUGGUAAUCCUCCGGAAGCAGGAGACACGACAUCAAGGGUCCCAGCCCAGGGUGAUGGAUAUUCAAAAGGGAGACACACAGGGCCAGGAAGGAGGCACACAGAGGGGCGCCCACCUGAGUCUGCUUCGACCACAAGAUGCUGGUGCUUCUUACUGUCCCUUGGUUUGCCAGGAGGCUCUUAAUGACCUACAGAUGGAAGAUGUCUCCGGGGCCAUGGUCGACGGCUCUCUCGUUCACAAUGAUUCCAUCUCCUUCCGUUUAGGAGCACCCCUCCUUGCCCAUUGCCGGCCAGGAGACACACUGCAAGUGGCAGGGUCCAGGUAUCAGGAGACCCACAGGUCCCCUGUGGGAGUCUUUUAGCACCCUCACCACAAGUGACUCUGCCGGGGGCCAGCGUGAGGAACUCCGCCCAUGGCAAAGGUCAUGAGGAACGAGGCUUGGCAUACGCAAAGGCAUGAUCAAGACUCAGGAAACCCC